CAGUCGCCACGGUAAUACGUAGGGCGCAAGCGUUAUCCGGAAUUAUUGGGCGUAAAGAGCUCGUAGGCGGUUUGUCGCGUCUGCCGUGAAAGUCCGGGGCUCAACCCCGGAUCUGCGGUGGGUACGGGCAGACUAGAGUGAUGUAGGGGAGACUGGAAUUCCUGGUGUAGCGGUGAAAUGCGCAGAUAUCAGGAGGAACACCGAUGGCGAAGGCAGGUCUCUGGGCAUUAACUGACGCUGAGGAGCGAAAGCAUGGGGAGCGAACAGGAUUAGAUACCCGUGUAGUCCCUGUCUCUUAUAC
rnacentral:rRNA from 1 species